rnacentral:lncRNA from 1 species
UGCCAGCCUCGGCCUCCCAAAGUGCUAGGAUUACAGGCAUGAGCCACCAUGCCCAGCUGAUUCUUCUUAUCAGAAAGGUGUCAAUGUCAUUGUAGUGGAUGAUUUUGGUGCCCCACCCAGAUCCCUUUACUAAGCUGGCCUGCCCAUACCAGCUGCUGUGAGUGUUGAUGGCUAUGGACUCAUAGUUAAUUUAUUUUCUAGAGAAAUGUCCUGUAUUAGUCUGUUUUCACACUGCUGAUAAAGACAUACCCAAGACUGGGUAAUUUAUAAAGAAAAAGAAGUUUAAUGGACUCACAGUUCCACGUGGCUGGGGAGGGCUCAUAAUCAUCUCAGAAAGUGAAAGGCAUGUUUCACAUGGAGGCAGGCAAGAGAAGAGCAUGAGAGCAAAGUGAAAGGGGUUUCCCCUUAUAAAACCAUCAGAUCUCAUGAGACUUAUUCACUACCAUGAGAAUGGUACGCAGUGGGGGAACCGCCCCCAUGAUUCAGUUAUCUCCCAGUGGGUCCCUCCCACAACAUGAGGGAAUUAUGGAGCUAGAAUUCAAGAUGAGAUUUGGGUGGGGACACAGCCAAACCAUAUCAUGCCCUCAGCCAAAGAGAAGCUUGUGAAGUCACACACAUCACUACCUUACCUGGGAGGUUACAUAUGUCACCAUUUCCCACUUCCCUAUGCUGGAGGCAACCCCAUAGCCAAUGACUGACUGAAAUAAAAAGGGGAACAAAAUGCUUACCUUGCCUUAAGGUGGGACCAAUACAGUAGUCCUUAUCUACUGGGAGGAAUACAUUUCAAGACCACCAGUAGAUGCCUGAAACAGCAAAUAGUACAUUUUUUUCCUAUACAUAUGUAUCUAUGAUAAAGUGUAAUUUUUAAAUUGGGCACAGUAAGGCUGGGCUCAGUGGCUCACACUUGUAAUCUCAGCACUUUGGGAGGCUGAGGCGGGCAGAUCACCUGAGGUCAGGAGUUCGAGAGCAGCCUGGCCGAUGUGGUGAAA